ACUAUCAAUUUGGUUACUUUUUAACGAUAUUUUUCGCAUAAAUUUUAACCAUGGUAGAAGUUCUUCAGCAUUCAACCAAAUUUGGUUAAAAAUUUAUCCAUAAAAUAAACGAACACCGCCAUUUUGGAAGUUUGACCGGUCGCGAUUUCCUAUUUCAGUAAACGAAAAAUCAAAUUUAAAGCAUUUUCACACAUUGAAAACCUUUAAGACACGAUGGCCUAAUCCUGAAAUUUGCACUCUUUUUGAAGGCUUUAAUAACGGAGCCUGGGGUUGGCCUGGAGCGACCGUAAGAAUGAGAUCGGGAAAAAUCGUCAGAUGCAGAAAGCAACCGGAGGUGGCUGGCAACGAAGAGGAUUCGAAUUCGGGUUUUGAUCCGAGUUCGCCCGGCGGUUCGGGUUUGCCUGCAAUCUUGGCCUGGUCACGUUUGGUUGGGUUUGUAAAACAUCGAAAUGUGCAAUAAAAUUAAAAUGUCCGCCGACGAUUCGAUGGUGCUAGAUGUGCCCCGCAACGAAAAUCAUCAGACAGUUGCAAGCGUAUUUCUUGCGAACAAGCUGAUGACCAAUCAACACAUUUGCCAGUUCGGUCACUUUGAUCUUCCCAAGGCCCGAGAGUUUUCGUGCAGCAUCCCGUACAAAUGCCAGCAAGCGGCGGAAGCUACUCUGAUCCACGGAAAUGUUUUUCUUCUGAACUGACGAUGUGAUUGAGGGUGGAGGUAUCAAUGGUAACAGCUUCGAUGGUUAUUGAAUCCUACAUCUAAAGAAAAUGAAUUUCGAAGAGGUUCACAAAUUUUCGGUGGUUGCCCCACACAAUAAGUCAUCUCUUCAAUUUGUUCCUUUGAAGAUGAUGGCACCGAUCGGUAUCGAGUUCUGGAUGUGCGAGAUAA